CAUGUGAAGAUUUGAAAUAUUUUAAUGUCCACUGAGCUUAACCAAUAAAAAAAUAACGACAGUUUUGCCGAAACAUUUUUAAGACGUUUGACUGAAAUAAAUGGAAAUAAAAAGAUUGUGAUUCAAGGAUUGUGCUGACGUUUUGGACUUAUAUUAUUAUAUUAUUAUGUUAUGUUUUAUUACCUUCAAUGCAAUUUAAUACAACUUAUCACAAUUC